ensembl:ncRNA F40H3.10 ncRNA
AAAGGUAUGUAAGUAAUUUAUAUAAGGAAACACAAACAAUACCAAAUUGAAGUUUAAUAUAUAUGGACUGGUAGAGAAACAGUUGAAAGUUCGCAGUAAGAACCCAAUUUCUUUUGAAUAUUUAUUCAAUAGUUUACUAUGAAUUGGUUCAAUCAAGA